UAUUGAACGGUUGAACUCGCUGAUUAAUAAGUUCUCAUAUCCUUCCAGUCCUGUUUUAUAUUUCUCAUCUGCAGUGGUCGGGCUCAUCCUACUUGUAGGUUUCUGAUAGCUGCAUGUAUAUAAUUCGAUUUUGGGCUUUUAGAAUUGUAGAGCAAUGAUAGAAUAAUUCGACGAAGAGAGCUAAGUGAAAUAAAUUUAUCAGCUUUACUUGCGGAAGAAUAUGAUCCAUGAAUACAUCUGAGAGGGCUUUAAGCGGCUGCAGCUACGUCCGCUGCUGAUGUUGAUGGCAGUUUCAUAUUUGAUGGUAAAGUUAGAGUUGUUUCUUUGAGCGAAAUAAAUCAGAUAAUCGCAUUAUUAUUACUAGUUAGACAUUAGAAUUCCUUAUUCGUGAUUUAACUAAAGUACGUGGUGAAACAUUUUAUGAGGCUGGAAAAAAUGUUAUAAUUUCACGAAGCGAUCUUUUAAGUCCCAGCUUCUCUAAUUUUGUUUUUCCCUUCGGGGCAUUAAAAAAACGAUUUUUAUUUUAGUAUUCAAUGGAGUUUUUAUAGGUAGAUCCCCAAUGUGAAACUGAUUUUACAAAAUGCAUUAUUCUUAUAACAAGUGGACUUUGAUCAGAAGAUUUUGUUGGCCAAAACUAAGGACUAAUGAUAGAUUGGUCAAAGCUAUUAUGGUGAUGUAUGGGCUUACAGGCUGGACCCUUUGCUUAAAAGUUUGAAAAAUGUUUGUGUAUGCCGUCGUCAAUAAGGGCGUGUGAAAAGCUUUGAUUAUACGCUUUCCAUUUUCAUAUUGUCCCUGUCAUCAUUAUUUACUUUUUCGUAGUGAAUGUUUCAAUUUUCACUGUCAAGGAGAAGAAUUUAUGCUCGCACUCAGAUGAGCUAAGGAAAUACCAGAAUAAAUAACAGAUUUAGCGAGUGAAUUUCGACGAACGCCGUUAGCCGCGUCCCAAAGAGUAAGAGAUUUAAUCUUGGCGGUGUUUCGUGCAAAGGCGUGUGGAAACUAAGAAUUAAAAAUGGAAGGAAAUCCCCAAAAACGCCUGCAGGAGGUCAGUGCAGAUGAAAAAUGACUUCUAAUCCAAGGUGUUGCCCAUUAUUGUGAAACUUGACCAACAAGAAGCAUUACCACAGCAGGGCAAAUCCGCAGAAUAAAUGACGGGCUGGAGGAGAUCCACUACAGAAUCCCAUUGGGAAGAAACAUGCCGAAAUAAUAGAAGUAUAUUUUUAGCAGAACCACCAGUAAUGCGAUCAACGACUAGCUAACCACAGGAUUCCCCCUACACCAGCUACUUAACAGCUAAAGCGGAGAAAGAGGACGCGCCGGCUUCUAUAGGGAAGAAGAAAAAAGGGCGUCCGGUAUGGGACAGCUGGACCAUGACCAGGAUGCUGGGCGACUUCCUGCAGCAUCAGACGGAACAACCCCGUUCCCAAUCCGGCUCUUCCUUUCUUAAGGUCCAAUAUACCUAUUGGGAUUCCGAGCAGGACUGAAGAUCGCGCGGGGAAGAUGGCUAUGAAUCCGUGGGAAGAGAAGGAAGCUUCAAACUACUAAUUUACAUAAAUAAAAACAUUCGUUGAACAUUGCCUUUA